rnacentral:rRNA from 1 species
ACAAUGGAGAGUUUGAUCCUGGCUCAGGAUGAACGCUAGCGGCAGGCUUAAUACAUGCAAGUCGUGGGGCAGCGCGGGUAGCAAUAUCUGGCGGCGACCGGCAAACGGGUGCGGAACACGUACGCAACCUUCCUUCAAGUGGGGGAUAGCCCAGGGAAACUUGGAUUAAUACCCCGUAAUAUUAUGAGGUGGCAUCAUCUUAUAAUUAUAGCUUCGGCGCUUGGAGAUGGGCGUGCGGCUGAUUAGGUAGUUGGCGGGGUAACGGCCCACCAAGCCUGCGAUCAGUAACUGGUGUGAGAGCACGACCAGUCACACGGGCACUGAGACACGGGCCC